UAGUGUGGACGGUAGGCCUAACCGUCGAAAUAAAGCUACGUUUUCGUCUUUCUCCGGCGUAGUGUUGCCGAGGUUUCAGUCUGUAGUUUUGGGAUUUCCUCGGCGAAAUCGCCGGCACAUGAUUAAAUUUAUAGCAACCUUUGAAGCUUAAGCAAUCUUCGUGUCAUAAAAACUGGUGACAAAAACACCAGCUAUAGUUAAUUAUUUUAUUGUGGACGAGUAUGAAGAAGCACUUGUAUUUCUGACAAGCAAAUGUGAUAAGCAAAGUGAUCUCGUAUGCACCUCACGUACAUAAGUCAUUAAUAUGAAAUACAAUACACCAGAAAGCGUGGUAUCACCACCUCUAAGAACAGCUUUUGUUCCACAGGCGCAUUAUAUUGAUGAUCAUUUGCAUAACACACACACAUUUGCUUCGCUGGGCAUGGUAUAGUGAUAUCAGUCUACGACGAUAUCGCACGGAAGAUUUGGGAGGUGAAAUAUAAUAAUGUUUAUUAGCAUACCUGUUAUCUCAAGACAAGGCAAAGAGGGGAUUUUUUGAAGAGAAAACUACCAGGAGCUGAAAUCUGCCAAAGAAAAUUUCCUAAAACUGACGAAAUCAUCUACGCCCAAAAAUGAAGUAGACGAUGUAUAGCAGGCACAGAUGAAGUCCUGGUAUGUCAUGACAGUUAUAGAGCAGUGCUAGGCUGGGGUGGUUCUUGUUUCUAAACGACAGUUUAAAUAAAUAUGUGACCUAUCGAGUAGUACUUACAUGUGGUGUUCUAUUCAACAAUUAGAUUAUGAGCUCGAGAUUUCUACCGCGUGAUAGUUGACGAGAGCUAAGCCUUCGUCAACCAUCACGCAUAGAAAUCGAGAGUGAAUAAUCUAAUUGUUUUAUUACAAAUCUACUAGUAGUUCAAAACUUAAACUAAAUCCUCUUUACGGACACCUCUAAAACGCUAAGAAGCAGUCGCCAUUCAACCAUUUUGUUUACAACCGUACACUGCUAUGCUACUCACUAUCUACUUAAACGGAAUAGAUGUUGAGUAGCGUAGCCAAUCGGCAUUCGUGAUAGAACGCCAGUAAAUUUAUACUAAAAACUAGAUAGAAACACAGAACAUGUUUUCUACUUCUUAAUUACAAGGCACAUCUGAAGUUUACUUUUGUGAAUGAAAGCUUAUGGUGUGUGUGUGACCUGAUUCGGAUCAAAUUAAGCUUUUGAGCCCUAUUAUCCAACCGUAGUGUUCGCUUUUCGGUAUGUUACAAAAAAAAAAAUAAGGGAUCAUUUCUCUAAGAUUACGACUUUGGGUAGUCUGUUUUUGUUUCUUAAAGAAAAAAUACCACAAAAAAUACAGGAAAAUUACACGCUUAUUUCAGUCAUCAAAAUGUAACUUCUCACUGCUGGCGCCGUCAGUACCCAACAGCUCUCAUUGUGGUUCUGUGGUUUUAUUGAUUUAAAGAAGUAAAGCUUUCAGCCCACGCUCAGCAGCUUUGUUUAUUCAGUCUUAAUUCAGACAAUUUCAUUCCGAUAGAGGUCCUUUUAUUUUCUCACUGGUUUUUAUGCUUGGCCUCUGCUUGACCCAUAUCGCGAAAUUUUCGGUCUCCAUGAAAUUCUAACCACGCCCAGUCAUUUUGCUGUACUCCGAGAACUUGCAAUCGUCAGACGUCAUAGAUCCCUCGCACUUGCUUGACAUGUGAUGAGUUAUGUAUUUUCAGUUCAUUAAAAUCGAGUGACCCCAGCACGUUUCCGUCAAACAUCAGAGAAGUUUGGUCGAGCCAUUGUUUGUUUUUUUGGCUGGAUGCUGUUGAUACAAACAUGAUUUUUCACAAGUGGUGCCAGACCUUUGUCCGGUCUUGAAAACGUUGAUGUGUUUGUAAACUUGACCUUGCAUUUGGUUGUCAAAGUUGUAAUUGAAAAUAAAGUCUUGCAGGGUUUAAGGCUUCUUUAUCGUCUCGCCUUGCUACACUUUGCUUCUGCUUGCGUGAAUUAAUCUGCUGAACAGAGGUGGCCAAACGCUAGUUAGUUUGUUUUUUGAUGCCUGGGUGACUGCCAUAUGAAAAGGUCGGGGAUGCUCGUCGCAAAGUUUGAAUUAAACCCCUAUAGGAGACCAAUAUGGGCUUGGCUAGGGCUUUAUUUGACUCCUAGAAGAUACCACCUAAACGGAAUAGGCGUGAUAACCAGCCGCUGUUCAGGAAAGGAGCCCGCGCUAGUAGGCCGGACUCGAGAGACCGGCGGAAAUCGAGCCAAAAACGGAAUUGAGAGCGUUUUUGAAUUAUUAUCUCUCCUAGUGCACCCUAUAUGAUACUUUGACAGCUUAAACUAGUAGCGUUUCGUCAACAACACCCUAAGUGAAACCAAAAUCCUUGAUUUACACUCCUAAGCGAGAUGACAAGCAGCUCUGAACCAUUUCAUAUGGGAGUCCCUCUCCCCCUCCCCCACGGGUUUUUGACAUAACACUAAAAAGACACAAACAAAGAGGAAUCAAAGAGGAAACGCUAACUGUCUUGAGGCAGCCGCGGUUUCUACUUUGGAGGGAAAUUUGUUUGCUUUUCCUCGCGUACGCUAAACAAAUAACCCCCAUGAUCUUCAACAUGUAUAGAUUCACUGGUUUGCAGUUGGCGGUAAUUUGGAAACAUUUCGACCAAAAUAUUGCAGAAGAUCAAAUUGGUGUUUUGAUACGGAAGUAGAGCACACACCAGACGAAAGUUUUUGAUUGGCUGAAGGCGAAUUUGCGUAUGAUAAGUGAGACGUGACCGGAAAACAUGCUAACAUCAUUUCUGACAUUUUCAGACUCGGCAAAACGUGUUCAUCAAUAAUAUUAAUGUACCUCACAUGCCAAAGUGGUUACACAAAUAACAUGGUUAAAAUAAACCUGUCUGAAAGAUCAAAUUUUAUUUCACAGACCACAACACUCGGUAGCAGUCAUUUGCAUUAUUUUCGCACGUAACUGAAAACAAGGUGUUGACUAAUUAUGAGCGAGAUUGUUGACUGAAGAUUGGGGCUAUAUACAACAGUUGCACGCUCAGUUUGCUAGGCCUUUGGUCAAAAUUUUAAGGAUGUGAAGAAAUGGCCAAAUAGCCAUAGAAGAGUGAGGCCUUACGGUGCAAAACAAGAAAAGUGCAAAGCAUAUUGUCUGUGUGAAAGUUUGAGACAUCUCGGAACCGUCACCUGUCCAGCUGACGGUAAAAUAACAGCGACGAAGGCAAGAAAACAAGGGACCAAGCCUCGAGAAGAAUUAGAAAUUAGCAUGGUGUGUGACCCUAAAAGAAGAAGACUUGACAAUACUGGUACUUUCCUUACGGCACUGUAUCUUUGCAGUUAUGUUGUACAAGGAAGCUCUGCCUCUUCAGUGAAAGCUGCACAAAGCACAAAAACUAUCAGGUAAGGAUUGACCAAAACAUUUUAGCUUUGGACUUCUUGUGAUAUUACCUUUUAAAAGCUAUUUUUACUCUGAAAAUAACCCUCUCUCCCUUCGUCCCUUCAGCAGUCUUCAGCAGCCCUCUACUAGUUAACAUCUAUACUAUAUAACAAACAGUGUAGUCACCCCUUACUAAAGAUUAAUAUCGGAAAGCCACAAAAAAAUGUCUAUUAUAUUUAGGAGAUUGCAUUGGGAAACACAUGGAAGUUGCAAGGAUCCCAGGUGUGGGUCAGGGAACCAGCAUUAUUAAGUUGCGAUGAGUGCCGUGCAUGUCAGAUUUGCCUGUCCCCACCCAUGGGGGUAAAUUUUCAAACCACUGCAAACAAAUCCUGGCAGGUAAAUCUGCAAAGACCCAGCUUCCUUUAUGUGCUGAAGGGAAGAAGCAAUCCUGAGGGCUUCUUCACCCUACAGAAAUCAUGAUAAGUUCUAGUUGAAAGAGUAAAUUUUACCUGGCUACAGCAUGCAAUCAAAGGGGAUAAACAAAGUUAUCACUGGCAUGCAUCCUUUAGUUCUGCUUACAGUAACUGUCAAAUGCAAGUUGACACUUGAUACUUACACCUAAUCAUACCAUUCUGGUAGGCAAAUCAGGUGAGUUUGGUACCCAUGGCGUGACCGAACCAGCCUAAUGUGCUGCCAAGCAUACCAGAAAGGUACAAUAAGGUAUUUACAGUGUACCAUAUCCAGAUUCGGCCAAGGGACAAUAUUGCAGCCAUAUCAGGUCAGUGGCUUGAUAUCACAGGAUAUCAGGACAGCAGACACAGCUUUUGAUUGGUUAAUUGUGAAUUUGGGUACCAUAAUCGUGAGAAUCAAGUACUGAGUAAUGGAACGAGUAUCAAGACUCAAUUCACUCAAAAUGCGACUCGAUUCUUGACACUCGAUUCACACAACAGUGCUAAUCUUA